rnacentral:rRNA from 1 species
CUUGAACAGCGAGUGACCAGCUCCGAAAGGAGCCUUCCGGCAAGGACACUCGUAGAGGUGCUGCAUGGCUGUCGUCAGCUCGUGUCGUGAGAUGUUGGGUUAAGUCCCGCAACGAGCGCAACCCUUGUUUGCUGUUGCCAUCACGUUAUGGUGGGCACUCUGCAAAGACUGCCGGUGAUAAACCGGAGGAAGGUGGGGAUGACGUCAAGUCAGCAUGGCCUUUAUGUCUGGGGCUACACACGUGCUACAAUGGCCGGUACAAACCGUCGCGAUACCGUAAGGUGGAGCUAAUCGGAGAAAGCCGGUCUCAGUUCGGAUCGUAGGCUGCAACUCGCCUGCGUGAAGUUGGAAUCGCUAGUAAUCGCGGAUCAGCACGCCGUGGUGAAUACGUUCCCGGGCCUUGUACACACCGCCCGUCACAUCACGAAAGCCGGUUGUACUAGAAGUCGCCACACUAACCCGCAAGGGAGGGAGGCGCCUAAGGUAUGGUCGGUGAUUGGGGUGAAGUCGUAACAAGGUAAGCGUAGUGCU